UUGCAAAGAACCAGUCUAAAGUGAAACUUUUAAAAAGCAAUCUAUAUGGAGUUUUUGGACAAGAAAUAUGUUAUAAACCGAAAAAUUUGAAAUUUCUUAAAGUUUGAACCUGGAACAUUAUACCUGUUGUAUGUGAUUAGCUUUUCGGAACCUAUCCGUAUUCAAAUUUGUGGAAAAGACAUGAAGGAAAGUCGGAACAAUAUAGAAACUGGACUAAAACAAAAUUGUCGGACCAUUGUGAUUAUGUUUUCAAAAUAUUGUGUGAAUUGAUAAUGUAUAUAUAUGUAAAUAUUUUGUGAGUAUUGAUAUG
rnacentral:lncRNA from 1 species